ACCCGCGCUCCGGGCUUGGACGACCGAGGGGGGCGCUGCAGCCGUUUCCUUCUCGAAGCCCCUCUACACGCUCCCACUAGGGCGGCUUCCUCCUUCGGCUACCGGAUGCGGCCGAGCCUAGACAAGCGUGGAUGGCCUCAUCCAACCAAAUGAAGGCCUUAAUAGGAAGACUGACCUCUUCGGGAGAGGGAAUUCUGCUGGCAGGCCACCUUUGGACUCUUCUCUGGAGCUCUUCCCUGGGUCUCUACCCUGCUGGCCUAUGCUGAUGAUUUUGAACUUGCCAAGCCUCUAUAAUCAUGUUCUGCAGCCGGCCUCCAGUGCAACUGCCCAGUAUUCUCAUUCCUCUCUCCCAUCACUGGCUCGGGUAUGGGGAGGCAGAGGAUGGAAACACAAGUUGGCAUCCUAGUGGGUCAAUGAGAGUGGAGUCAAAGAGCAUGGGACAUGAAGAGAAGCACAAAGGGCAACGGGGUAAGCUGGACGCAAAAGACCACCAGACUGAGCAGCCCAGUCUUCCAGUCCCGAGCGAGCUGGAAGCAAAGGCAGAACUGGCAGUGUGCAGGGAAGUGAGAUGUUUGCUGGCAUUCAGGGCACAGCAGGUCAUCCUUAGAGGUGUUUCCUCAAAUGGCUGCUCAUUUUCUUGCAUGAUGUGAGGCUGCGGCAGCCACAAGAGAGAAGGAUGAGAGCCAUGCUUGCAGGGAGAGUGUUCUGAUAAGUAGAAGCUGGUUCAAGGGAUGGGUCCCACUCACGCACACAGUAGUAAUAGAACUUCACCCAUGGUUGAAGGACUUGCAGCAGGAAGUCAGAGGCCUAGUGUCAUGCCCCUAAGGAGUGCCAAAGAGACACACUACACCCAGACACUCAAUGGCAAGGCUGGAAAGCAAGAAAAGGAAAUGAAGUAUAAAUAAAAGGAGUCAAAACUGCUCUUACUGCAGGCCCUAUAAUUACUAAUCCAGACUAUUCAGGAUAGUUAACAUCAUAGCUAUUAGAAUAAUCAUGGAGUUUGGGGACACCUGGGUGGCUCAGUCAGUUGGGCGUCUGCCUUUGGCUCAGGUCAUGAUCCUGGAGUCCUGGGAUCGAGUCCUGCAUUGGGCUCCUUGCUCAGCAGGGAGCCUGCUUCUCCCUCUCCCUGCUGCUCCCCCUGCUUGUGCUCUUGCUCUCUCUCUGACAAACAAAUAAAUAAAAUCUUAAAAAAAAAAAAAAAAGAAUAGGGGCGCCUGGGUGGCUCAGUCAUUAAGUGUCUGCCUUCGGCUCAGGUCAUGGUCUCAGGGUCCUGGGAUCGAGCCCCGCAUUGGGCUCCCUGCUCAGCAGGAAGCCUGCUUCUCCCUCUCCUACUCCCCCUGCUUGUGUUCCCUCUCUCGCUGUUUCUCUCUGUCAAAUAAAUAAAUAAAAUCU